rnacentral:rRNA from 1 species
CAGCACCUCAAGUGGUCAGGAUGAUUAUUGGGCCUAAAGCAUCCGUAGCCUGCUUUGUUAGUUUUCGGUUAAAUCCAUACGCUCAACGUAUGGGCUGCCGGGAAUACUGCAAAGCUAGGGAGUGGGAGAGGUAGACGGUACUCGGUAGGAAGGGGUAAAAUCCUUUGAUCUAUUGAUGACCACCUGUGGCGAAGGCGGUCUACCAGAACACGUCCGACGGUGAGGGAUGAAAGCUGGGGGAGCAAACCGGAUUAGAGACCCGAGUAGUC